GAUUCUUUAUAAGUUACUUAGUGGUAGAUUUUGUUUUUUUGCUAUUUAGUGCUAUCUAGGUUUAGCGAUAGGUUUAGUUAGCUUGGUUAGUUAGGUUAGUUAGUUAGUUAGAUUAAUAGAAAGAAUAGGAAGAAGAAGAAGAGGAGGAGGAGGAGAAGAGGAGAAGAGGAGGAGGAGAAGAAGAAGAAGAAGAAGAAGAAGAAGAGGAGGAGGAGGAGAAGACAAAAAUAAGAAGGACAAGAAGAAAAGAAGAAAAAAGAAGAAGAAGAAGAAGAAGAAGAAGAAGAAGAAGAAGAA
rnacentral:lncRNA from 1 species